rnacentral:rRNA from 1 species
UACGUAGGGUGCGAGCGUUAAUCGGAAUUACUGGGCGUAAAGCGUGCGCAGGCGGCUUCGCAAGUCAGACGUGAAAGCCCCGGGCUUAACCUGGGAAUGGCGUUUGAAACUACGGAGCUGGAGUGUGGCAGAGGGGGGUGGAAUUCCACGUGUAGUGGUGAAAUGCGUAGAUAUCGGGAGGAACACCAGUGGCGAAGGCGACUACCUGGCCUGUUCUUGACGCUGAGGCGCGAAAGCUAGGGGAGCAAACGGG